GACGUAGGGGGCGAGCGUUGUCCGGAUUUAUUGGGCGUAAAGAGCGUGUAGGCGGCCAUACAGGUCCGUUGUGAAAACUGGAGGCUUAACCUCCAGACGUCGAUGGAAACCGUAUGGCUAGAGUCCGGAAGAGGAGAGUGGAAUUCCUGGUGUAGCGGUGAAAUGCGCAGAUAUCAGGAAGAACACCCGUGGCGAAGGCGGCUCUCUGGGACGGUACUGACGCUGAGACGCGAAAGCGUGGGGAGCGAACAGG
rnacentral:rRNA from 1 species